ncrna:Pseudomonas fluorescens WH6 Proteo-phage-1 RNA
CUGCAGUCAGGGCAGCCUCACGGAAGGCCUGGACGCUGAUAAGCCGGUAGUGCAGCGCUACGGGAAAACACCGGCAGCC